rnacentral:rRNA from 1 species
AGAGUUUGAUCAUGGCUCAGGAUGAACGCUGGCGGCGUGCUUAACACAUGCAAGUCGAACGGAGAACCCCUGACGGAGGAUUCGUCCAACUGAAGGGAAUUCUUAGUGGCGGACGGGUGAGUAACGCGUGAGGAACCUACCUUGGAGUGGGGAAUAACAGUCCGAAAGGACUGCUAAUACCGCAUAAUGCAGUUGGGCCGCAUGGCUCUGACUGCCAAAGAUUUAUCGCUCUGAGAUAGCCUCGCAUCUGAUUAGCUAGUAGGCGGGGUAACGGCCCACCUAGGCGACGAUCAGUAGCCGG